AUGGACAACUGCUUGGAGUGGUGUAAACCUCAAGCUACUGCCCAAUACUAUGGCAGUGCCAAUGCAGGGCUGGGUUUCUUUCACAUAGAAUCAGAUGACAAGGAGGCAGUUAAGUGGCUAAACAUGACCAAUGUGUGUGUUGCUGUGAUUCAGGAAGGUUCUAUCACCUCCCAAGAACUGAAAAACAACUUUUCUGAAAUAUGGAAAACUAAUUGGCCAUGGCAAGCGAGACAGUUAACUGAGAAAAGAUUUCUAGUCAGGUUUCCACCUCACAAGAAAGUGAAAGAUUUGGUUGAGCUCCCCUCCAUCAAUCUCAAGAAAAAGGGGGUAACUGUCUCUUUUGAUAAAUGGGAUGGUGAGGAGGUAGCAUAUGGUGAAUUGCAAGAGGUUUGGGUGACCAUGAUUGGGAUCCUAUUAGCAAGCUCACUUGGAAAGUAA
rnacentral:rRNA from 1 species